ACCCGGCUGGCUCAGUCAGUAGAGCAUGAAACUGUUGAUCUCAGGGUUGUGAGUUCGAGCCCCACGUUGGGUG